UGGGGAAUAUUGGGCAAUGGGCGGAAGCCUGACCCAGCAACGCCGCGUGAAGGAAGAAGGCUUUCGGGUUGUAAACUUCUUUUCUAAGGGACGAAGGAAGUGACGGUACCUUAGGAAUAAGCCACGGCUAACUACGUGCCAGCAGCCGCGGUAAUACGUAGGUGGCAAGCGUUAUCCGGAUUUACUGGGUGUAAAGGGCGUGUAGGCGGGGAAGCAAGUCAGAUGUGAAAAGCCACGGGCUCAACCUGUGGCCUGCAUUUGAAACUGUUUUUCUUGAGUACUGGAGAGGCAGACGGAAUUCCUAGUGUAGCGGUGAAAUGCGUAGAUAUUAGGAGGAACACCAGUGGCGAAGGCGGUCUGCUGGACAGCAACUGACGCUGAGGCGCGAAAGCGUGGGGAGCAAACAGGAUUAGAUACCC
rnacentral:rRNA from 1 species